rnacentral:rRNA from 1 species
CGACGUGAGGAACCUGCCUUGGAGUGGGGAAUAACAGCUAGAAAUAGCUGCUAAUACCGCAUAAAGCAGUUGGGUCGCAUGACUCUGACUGCCAAAGAUUUAUCGCUCUGAGAUGGCCUCGCGUCUGAUUAGAUAGUUGGCGGGGUAACGGCCCACCAAGUCGACGAUCAGUAGCCGGACUGAGAGGUUGGCCGGCCACAUUGGGACUGAGACACGGCCCAGACUCCUACGGAAGGCAGCAG